GAGGGGGAUAACGGCUGGAAACGGCCGCUAAUACCCCAUAUGCCGAGAGGUGAAAUGAAAUUCGCCUGAGGAUGAGCUCGCGUCUGAUUAGCUAGUUGGUGGGGUAAGAGCCUACCAAGGCGUCGAUCAGUAGCUGGUCUGAGAGGAUGAUCAGCCACACUGGGACUGAGACACGGCCCAGACUCCUACGGGAGGCAGCAGUGGGGAAUUUUCCGCAAUGGGCGAAAGCCUGACGGAGCAACGCCGCGUGAGGGAUGAAGGCCUCUGGGCUGUAAACCUCUUUUAUCAAGGAGGAAGAUCUGACGGUACUUGAUGAAUAAGCCACGGCUAAUUCCGUGCCAGCAGCCGCGGUAAUACGGGAGUGGCAAGCGUUAUCCGGAAUUAUUGGGCGUAAAGCGUCCGCAGGCGGCCUUGUAAGUCUGUCGUCAAAGCGUGGAGCUUAACUCCAUUUAAGCGAUGGAAACUGCAAGGCUAGAGUGUGGUAGGG
rnacentral:rRNA from 1 species